rnacentral:rRNA from 1 species
CACAUGACUCUCAGCAACGGAUAUCUCGGCUCUCGCAUCGAUGAAGAAUGUAGCAAAAUGCGAUACCUGGUGUGAAUUGCAGAAUCCUGCUAACCAUCGAGUUUUUGAACGCAAGUUGCGCCCGAGGCCCUCUGGCUGAGGGCACGCCUGCCUAGGCGUCAUGC